GGGGGGGACGCUACCUGCAAGUCGAGCGGAAACGAUGGAGUGCUUGCACUCCAGGCGUCGAGCGGCGGACGGGUGAGUAACGCGUGAGAAUCUGCCCAUUAGUGGGGGAUAACCCGGGGAAACUCGGGCUAAUACCGCAUACGUCCUACGGGACAAAGCAGGGGACCUUCGGGCCUUGCGCUGAUGGAUGAGCUCGCGUCGGAUUAGCUUGUUGGUGAGGUAAAGGCUCACCAAGGCGACGAUCCGUAGCUGGUCUGAGAGGAUGAUCAGCCACACCGGGACUGAGACACGGCCCGGACUCCUACGGGAGGCAGCAGUGGGGAAUCUUGGACAAUGGGGGCAACCCUGAUCCAGCCAUGCCGCGUGUGUGAAGAAGGCCUUCGGGUUGUAAAGCACUUUCAGCAGGGAGGAAGGCUUUGGGCUAAUACCCUGGAGUACUUGACGUUACCUGCAGAAGAAGCACCGGCUAAUUUCGUGCCAGCGCCCGCGGUAAAGGGG
rnacentral:rRNA from 1 species